GACGAACGCUGGCGGCGUGCCUAAUACAUGCAAGUCGAACGCUUCUUUCCUCCCGAGUGCUUGCACUCAAUUGGAAAGAGGAGUGGCGGACGGGUGAGUAACACGUGGGUAACCUACCCAUCAGAGGGGGAUAACACUUGGAAACAGGUGCUAAUACCGCAUAACAGUUUAUGCCGCAUGGCAUAAGAGUGAAAGGCGCUUUCGGGUGUCGUUGAUGGAUGGACCCGCGGUGCAUUAGCUAGUUGGUGAGGUAACGGCUCACCAAGGCCACGAUGCAUAGCCGACCUGAGAGGGUGAUCGGCCACACUGGGACUGAGACACGGCCCAGACUCCUACGGGAGGCAGCAGUAGGGAAUCUUCGGCAAUGGACGAAAGUCUGACCGAGCAACGCCGCGUGAGUGAAGAAGGUUUUCGGAUCGUAAAACUCUGUUGUUAGAGAAGAACAAGGACGUUAGUAACUGAACGUCCCCUGAUGGUAUCUAACCAGAAAGCCACGGCUAACUACGUG
rnacentral:rRNA from 1 species